ACAGGAUUAGAUACCCUGGUAGUCCACGCUGUAAACGAUGAUCACUAGAUGUCGGUUUCGCAUUGCGAGAUCGGUGUCGUAGCUAACGCGUUAAGUGAUCCGCCUGGGGAGUACGGUCGCAAGACUAAAACUCAAAGGAAUAGACGGGGACCCGCACAAGUAGAGGAGCAUGUGGUUUAAUUCGACGGUAAGCGAGAAACCUCACCUAGGUUUGAAAUGCAGCUGCAAGCCACUGGAAACAGAGGCCGCUCUCGAGGGUGCUGCACAGGUGCUGCAUGGUUGUCGUCAGCUCGUGUCGUGAGAUGUACCGUUAAGUCGGGUAACGAGCGCAACCCCCAUCCCGUGUUACUUUUUCACGGGAGACCGCCUCGGAUAACGGGGAGGAAGGUGGGGAUGACGCCAAAUCAGCAUGGCUCUUACACCUAGGGCCACACACGUGCUACAAUGGCAUAUACAAUGGGCUGCCAAAUCGUAAGAUGGAGCUAAUCCCACCAAAGUAUGCCUCAGUUCGGAUUGAGGGCUGCAACUCGCCCUCAUGAAGCUGGAUUUACUAGUAAACGCGUAUCAGCUACGGCGCGUUGAAUACGUUCUCGGGUCUUGUACUCACCGCCCGUCACGCCAAGAGAGUCGGAAAUACCCGAAGGCCCCGUUGAGGGGACGAAGGUAGAGCCGAUGAUAGGGGCGAAGUCGUAACAAGGCAUGUGUAGCGGAAGCUGCGCAUG
rnacentral:rRNA from 1 species